AGUGAACGCUGGCGGCAGGCCUAACACAUGCAAGUCGAACGGCAGCACGGACUUCGGUCUGGUGGCGAGUGGCGAACGGGUGAGUAAUGUAUCGGAACGUACCUUUCAGUGGGGGAUAACGUAGCGAAAGUUACGCUAAUACCGCAUAUUCUGUGAGCAGGAAAGCAGGGGAUCGCAAGACCUUGCGCUGAUUGAGCGGCCGAUAUCAGAUUAGCUAGUUGGUGAGGUAAAGGCUCACCAAGGCGACGAUCUGUAGCGGGUCUGAGAGGAUGAUCAGCCACAAUGGGACUGAGACACGGCCCAUACUCCUACGGGAGGCAGCAGUGGGGAAUUUUACGCAAUGGGCGAAAGCCUGACGUAGCGACACCGCGUGAGCGAAGAAGCCCUUUGGGGUGUAAAGCUCUGUCGGCUG
rnacentral:rRNA from 1 species